rnacentral:rRNA from 1 species
GAUCCUGGCUCAGAAUCAACGCUGGCGGCGUGCCUAACACAUGCAAGUCGAACGCGAAAGCCCCGCAAGGGGCAAGUAGAGUGGCAAACGGGUGAGUAACACGUGGGUGACCUGCCUUCGAGUGGGGGAUAACGUCCCGAAAGGGACGCUAAUACCGCAUAACAUGCCGCCUUUUAACAGGCGGACAUCAAAGCUGGGGAUCGCAAGACCUAGCGCUGGAAGAGGGGCCCGCGCCUGAUUAGCUAGUUGGUGAGGUAAUGGCUCACCAAGGCGACGAUCAGUAGCCGGCCUGAGAGGGCGGACGGCCACACUGGGACUGAGACACGGCCCAGACUCCUACGGGAGGCAGCAGUGGGGAAUUGUUCGCAAUGGGCGCAAGCCUGACGACGCAACGCCGCGUGGAGGAUGAAGAUCUUCGGGUCGUAAACUCCUUUCGAUCGAGACGAAUUCCCCUGGGGUGAACAACCCCGGGGGUUGACGGUACCGAGAGAAGAAGCCCCGGCUAACUCCGUGCCAGCAGCCGCGGUAAUACGGGGGGGGCAAGCGUUGUUCGGAAUUACUGGGCGUAAAGGGCUCGUAGGUGGCCAACUAAGUCAGACGUGAAAUCCCUCGGCUUAACCGGGGAACUGCGUCUGAUACUGGUUGGCUUGAGUUUGGGAGAGGGAUGCGGAAUUCCAGGUGUAGCGGUGA